rnacentral:tRNA from 1 species
GUCCUUUUGUCCAGUGGUAGGACAUCAUAUUUUCAUGUCGAAGACAUGGGUUCAAUUCCCUUAAAGGAUA